rnacentral:lncRNA from 1 species
AGCCACUUAAUUUCUCUUUUCCUUUUUCAGCCACAUGAUUUUACUUAAAAAUCUUCAGCCACAAAUUUAAUUUCGUGCAGCCCAAGAAUUGAGUACUAUUUAAACACAAAUCACCCGAAUUUGUAUACCAGCAAUUUACUCUUCAUCUGUUCACUUCACCAUAUAAACUCAAUCUGCCAUUUCUCACUGCACAUCAUCAAUCGGUAAUUUUAAUAUUUUCUGUAAGUUUAAAUACUCAUAUGCAAUAAUUUCUGUUUUCUUUGUAAAUUCCCAAAUUUUCAAAAGAAUCAAAAGCCCUACAAUCGAAGAAUAACAUUUUCACUAAUUUACAACAAAUUUAAAAUAGAGAAGAAAUAGAAGAGGUGGAAAGAGGAAUAGGGACAGAGAAGAGAGGAGUCGGCGCCGUGCGCUGCAUGCGCCACGGCGGCCGGCGGAGAGAAGCCGGGGACGGCUGGCGAUGAAGAAGAAGUACAGCAGCAGCAGCAGCGCCGGAUCUGGGACGGAGGGAGGCGGGCCUGAUCAACCGCUACUCUCUGUCGCGGAACGGCGAGGGUGGCCGCGCUGUCGGCUGGAGAGAGAGAGAAAGGUGAGGGCGGUGUUGGGCAGGAGCAGGCGACGGCUGGCGGAGGAUAAGGCCGGAGGAGGAGUCAGCCGCGGCUUGGAGUGGCGAGGAGAAGAGCAGAAGGGGGAGAGAAGUCGAUGGAGAGGGGUUAAGGAGAGGACAGGGGGAGGCAGAGUCGCCGGCCUACGACGGCGGCGUGCCGUCUGUGGCGGCAGCAGGAGGCUGAGAAGGGAGAAGGGAGAGGGGUGAGGGGAGAGCGGCUGAGAGAGAGAAGGAGUGAGGAGCGUGGUGCGUGAGUUAUGUGGGUGUGUUGGAGAAUGAGAGUUAAAGUAGGGGAAAUGGGGAAAUGAAAUGGGCUUUGGGCUUAGUUUGGUUUUAAAUUGAAUGGGCUUUAAUUGGGGCUUAAUUUUAUUAGAUGAUUGGGCUAUAAUUUGAUUAACUAUUGCACUAAAUUAUUUUUAUCAAAAGGCUUGCAUUUGCAUAUUAUUUUACAAAGAAUGUCAUAUUUGGACUUGUAUUAUUAAUUUAAAUUUAGUUUUAAUUAAAUUUUGAGCCCAAAUAUUUUUAUAAGAAAAGCUCUUUUAUAAUCUAUUAGACCAAUUAUUUUCCAAAUGAUUUUAUGAUAAUAAAUUCUUAAGAUUUAAACUACUAUUAUUAUUUUUAAAGUUCAAUUAGGCCCUUAUAUUUAUUAUUUGAAUUUAUCUGACUAGGUGCGGCGCGACUAGGACGUUACUUUUAAUUGAAUUACUCAAGUUAGCAUUCAAGUUGAAGUUCAAGUUCAAAAUUCAGGUGUGGGGAAUUUAUUCAGUACAUGCCGUGGUUAAUUCUUGUCCAUUUUAAUAUUAUGUGUUUACCAUAUGUGAGUUGCAUUAAAUUCAGUUAUAUCGCUAGGGGCCCGCUCAAUGGGUCCAGGACUUCACCGUCCUUGGUAUGCCACAAUGCGAUUUCAUGUUACAGUUAUGGUUGCAACCAGUCGCCAGGGGCCGGCUCAAUCGGUCCAGGACGGAAAGGUCCUUGGUAUGCCACCGUGCGACUUUCAGUUACGAAUGUAUUGAUCAUAUGUGAUUCUCAUUUUAUUAACGUGGACAAUGAUUGCAUGUUCCCACACUGAGUGUACCCUGUAUGCUCAUCCCAUACUUAACAUUUUCAGGUUUUAAAGGCCGGAGGCGCGUGGAAGGUCGAAUGGCGAAUCAAAUAUUUUGAAUUUAGUUUUACUUAAAAAUGUUAUUUUGAGUAAAGUAUGUUUAAAUAAAUAUUUAUUUC